UACAGAGGGUGCGAGCGUUGUCCGGAAUCACUGGGCGUAAAGGGCGCGUAGGUGGCGGCCCAAGUCCAUGGUGAAAGCUCGAUGCGCAACAUCGAGUCGGCCACGGAUACUGGGUUGCUCGAGCACUGUAGGGGCAGAUGGAAUUCCGGGUGUAGCGGUGGAAUGCGUAGAGAUCCGGAAGAACACCGGUGGCGAAGGCGGUCUGCUGGGCAGUUGCUGACACUGAGGCGCGACAGCGUGGGGAGCAAACAGG
rnacentral:rRNA from 1 species